GCGUUUAAGGUAAACAAGAAGAAAAGAAAAAGCUGGAGAACGACGCAGGGCGCAGUGUCUAAGUGGAUUAGGUGGUAAGCCUCGCUGAGCUACCUUUCCUUUUACAGACCCGCAGCAUUAUUGCCACUUUAAAGAAGCGAGCACUCUAAUAUUAUAACAGAAUACGAGAACGCGAACAAACACUUUGUAGCCGGCGUGUUUUUAUUUCUUCAGACAAUCCAGCCUGUUUGGCUAUCAACAUCUUUUGACACGCCGUUCCUUUCAAUCAAGCGCGCGCUGCCUCUGCGGCUCCCAUUUCGCAGCGCCAGAUACGACGACGGGGUCGGAGUCAAGGUCUCUCUGCAUCGCCGAGUGAGAGAGAUUUCGCAUCGCGCUUACAAGGCGCCACAAAGACCCGCUGUUCCGCGCCUCGUUGCCUUGUCUCCGGGGGGCGGGUCGGGUCGGGGUGGCGCGGCCGACCCCUAGGCGCAUUAUUUAAGGCCUCUCUGAGAAGAAUGCGCCUCCAUCGCCAUUCAAGAGAGACGCGUGGAGGGGGAGGCCGCGAGACGAGAGCUACUUCAACACUUGCCAAGAUGACAACGGUUGCCCAAAUGUUCCAUUUGAUGUUUCGAGCCUCAAGAGCAAGUGGGAGAGAACGAGUGAUACAGGGGGGAGAGAAACCCAGGGAAACGGAGAGGGAAUAAACGGCAAUGAGAGAGCGGGAGGGGAGGGGAGGGGAGGGGGGAGAGGGGAGAGGAGACUGAAAGCAAAUGAGAAUGAGAGGAGUGGAAAAGAACAUUAGCUGGAGAGGUUGCCAAGUUCAAGAUCUGCCAGCCUGAGGUGUGUGCAGUCCCGGGUGUUGUAGUGAGGGAGAGAGGGAGGAGGGGUGAGGCAGUGGGUGUCAGGUAUGUCUCUCCUUCCAUCCCAGCGCUCCAUCGCGCGCCUUUCUGCUCCAGCUGCUGCUCGCCCGGAUAACAAAUCAUUCCCUACAGCGCCUUCUGGUAACCUCGUCAUUCCCCGCUAAUAACAUUUGGAGAUGCUAAGCUUGUAAAUUAGCGAAUCUGGACCGAGGAGAUAUUAUUUAUGCUUGUCUCCCAUCCUGAAAGACUUGUCUUGAUGGGUAAAUUGUGUUUAAUUCUUGGAGGAAGACGUUUUUUUUCUGUGCCCCAGCAUGAGAUGAGAUUAAUCCCUUGACAACCUUUGCGGGCGCACUUCAAAAUUGCUCCCAAAUGUCACCGAUGCCGCCGCCGCCGAGAUUUGCAAAGAGGGUGGAAACAGGGAGAGAAACAAGCACCGUGCAGAAAUGGGGACACAUCCGAUGCGCGUGACCCCCCCCCCCCCCCCCCCCCCCCCCCAAACACACUCACUCACACACUUCUUACACAAGUGUGUUUUAUUCCCCUUCUUAGCAUUCAGGAAAAAAAUGGAAAAUAAACAUAAGACACACACAUAAACUCGAGGCA
rnacentral:lncRNA from 1 species